rnacentral:rRNA from 1 species
CAGCAGCCGCGGUAAUACGAAGGGUGCAAGCGUUACUCGGAAUUACUGGGCGUAAAGCGUGCGUAGGUGGUGGUUUAAGUCCGUUGUGAAAGCCCUGGGCUCAACCUGGGAAUUGCAGUGGAUACUGGGUCACUAGAGUGUGGUAGAGGAUAGUGGAAUUUCCGGUGUAGCAGCGAAAUGCGUAGAGAUCGGAAGGAACACCAGUGGCGAAGGCGGCUCACUGGCUCAUUCUAGACGCUGAGGUGCGAAAGCGUGGGAGCAAACAGGAUUAGAGACCCGCGUAGUCCCUGUCUCUUAUACA